UGGGGAAUAUUGGACAAUGGUCGCAAGCCUGAUCCAGCCAUGCCGCGUGAGUGAUGAAGGCCCUAGGGUUGUAAAGCUCUUUCACCGGUGAAGAUAAUGACGGUAACCGGAGAAGAAGCCCCGGCUAACUUCGUGCCAGCAGCCGCGGUAAUACGAAGGGGGCUAGCGUUGUUCGGAUUUACUGGGCGUAAAGCGCACGUAGGCGGACUAUUAAGUCAGGGGUGAAAUCCCGGGGCUCAACCCCGGAACUGCCUUUGAUACUGGUAGUCUUGAGUUCGAGAGAGGUGAGUGGAAUUCCGAGUGUAGAGGUGAAAUUCGUAGAUAUUCGGAGGAACACCAGUGGCGAAGGCGGCUCACUGGCUCGAUACUGACGCUGAGGUGCGAAAGCGUGGGGAGCAAACAGG
rnacentral:rRNA from 1 species